UACGUAGGGUGCAAGCGUUGCCCGGAUUUAUUGGGCGUAAAGGGCGCGCAGGCGGCUACGCACGUCCGUUGUGAAAUCGCUCGGCUCAACUGGGCGGGGUCGGCGGAUACGGCGUAGCUGGAGCAAGCUAGGGGGCAAUGGAAUUCCCGGUGUAGUGGUGGAAUGCGUAGAUAUCGGGAGGAACACCAGUGGCGAAGGCGGUUGCCUGGAGCUUUGCUGACGCUGAGGCGCGAAAGCGUGGGGAGCGAACCGG
rnacentral:rRNA from 1 species